GAUGAACGCUAGCGGCAGGCCUAAUACAUGCAAGUCGAACGGUAAAUAUUGUAGCAAUACGAUAUGAGAGUGACGUACGGGUGCGUAACACGUAUGCAACCUACCCAAAACUGGAGUAUCGCUCGGGGAAACCCGAAUUAACCCUUCAUAGUAUCACUGGAUGGCAUCAUUUGGUGAUUAAAACUCAGGUGGUUUUGGCUGGGCAUGCGUCUGAUUAGCUAGUUGGCGGGGUAAAGGCCCACCAAGGCGAUGAACAGUAGGGGAACUGAGAGGUUGAUCCCCCACACUGGCACUGAGAUACGGGCCAGACUCCUACGGGAGGCAGCAGUAGGGAAUAUUGGUCAAUGGAUGCAAGUCUGAACCAGCCAUGCCGCGUGCAGGAAGAAGGCCUUCUGGGUUGUAAACUGCUUUUGCCAGAGGAUAAAAUGGGCGUGCGCGCCUAAUUGAAGGUACCUGGUGAAUAAGCCACGGCUAACUACGUGCCAGCAGCCGCCGUAA
rnacentral:rRNA from 1 species